rnacentral:rRNA from 1 species
UACAGAGGUCCCAAGCGUUGUUCGGAUUCACUGGGCGUAAAGGGCGCGUAGGCGGUCGUGCGCGUCGGAGGUGAAAUCCCCGGGCUUAACCCGGGAGCUGCCUCCGAUACGGCAUGGCUUGAGUCCGGGAGAGGGGAGCAGAAUUCCCAGUGUAGCGGUGAAAUGCGUAGAUAUCUGGAGGAACACCGGUGGCGAAGGCGGCAUCCUGGACCAACACUGACGCUGAGGAGCGAAAGCCAGGGGAGCAAACGGG